UUUUUCUUUUAGGGUAAUAUUACAAACUAACUAUGAAAUGGAAAAGAAUUGAGAGAAUGAUCUUGUGUCAGAAAAUAGCAUUAGCUUUAGUUAUAAAGUUUAUAUGUAUUUGUUUAAA
rnacentral:sRNA from 1 species